GGGGGGGGGCGGCGCCCUCCGCCCCCAGACGGCGGGGUCGGCGGCGGCGGCCGGGCGCGAGGCGGCCCGGCGGCGCGGAGGUGAAUUCCGGCUGCGCGGCCGCCGCUCGCCCCAGGGCUCCCGAGAACAAGACUUUGCAGAAGAGGCUGGGAGAAACUGGGCCUUCCUUUCUGCAGCAACCGAAUGAUUUGCAUGGGAAGGAAGAACAGUGAAGCUCAGAUACAGGCUGAAUAGGUGUCUGUCCUGCAGCUGACUCCACGAAGAGCAUAAUUACUUCGAACAAGUCCUUCCUGGACACAGAAUUCUGCCUGAACAGAGAGAGUUUCAAGGUCUGAGUCUAGCAGGGAAAGUAUCUUCCUCUGAAAUUAAAACUUUUAUAUGCAUGACAAACAAAUGCAUAGUGUUGUUUGGAGCAGUGCUGGAUAUACUGAUCUAGUUGUUCACUCACCAAAGGAAACUGGAUUACUUUUGAGAUCCACAUGUAAAUGUGAGCACCAUGUAUUAAAGAAAGUUAAAGCUG